rnacentral:rRNA from 1 species
GAUGAACGCUGGCGGCGUGCCUAAUACAUGCAAGUCGAGCGAACAGAUAAGGAGCUUGCUCCUUUGACGUUAGCGGCGGACGGGUGAGUAACACGUGGGUAACCUACCUAUAAGACUGGAAUAACUCCGGGAAACCGGGGCUAAUGCCGGAUAACAUUUAGAACCGCAUGGUUCUAAAGUGAAAGAUGGUUUUACUAUCACUUAUAGAUGGACCCGCGCCGUAUUAGCUAGUUGGUAAGGUAACGGCUUACCAAGGCAACGAUACGUAGCCGACCUGAGAGGGUGAUCGGCCACACUGGAACUGAGACACGGUCCAGACUCCUACGGGAGGCAGCAGUAGGGAAUCUUCCGCAAUGGGCGAAAGCCUGACGGAGCAACGCCGCGUGAGUGAUGAAGGUCUUCGGAUCGUAAAACUCUGUUAUUAGGGAAGAACAAAUGUGUAAGUAACUGUGCACGUCUUGACGGUACCUAAUCAGAAAGCCACGGCUAACUACGUG